rnacentral:rRNA from 1 species
UGCCAGCAGCCGCGGUAAUACGGAGGGGGUUAGCGUUGUUCGGAAUUACUGGGCGUAAGGCGCACGUAGGCGGAUCAAUAAGUCAGGGGUGAAAUCCCGAGGCUCAACCUCGGAACUGCCUUUGAUACUGUUGGUCUUGAGUUCGAGAGAGGUGAGUGGAAUUCCAAGUGUAGAGGUGAAAUUCGUAGAUAUUUGAAGGAACAUCAGUGGCGAAGGCGGCCACCUGGACUAAUACUGACACUGAGGUGCGAAAGCGUGGGGAGCAAACAGGAUUAGAUA